GGAGGCUCUGGCAGCUUUC
rnacentral:misc_RNA from 1 species